UACGAAGGGGGCUAGCGUUGCUCGGAAUCACUGGGCGUAAAGGGUGCGUAGGCGGGUCUUUAAGUCAGAGGUGAAAUCCUGGAGCUCAACUCCAGAACUACCUUUGAUACUGAAGAUCUUGAGUUCGGGAGAGGUGAGUGGAACUGCGAGUGUAGAGGUGAAAUUCGUAGAUAUUCGCAAGAACACCAGUGGCGAAGGCGGCUCACUGGCCCGAUACUGACGCUGAGGCACGAAAGCGUGGGGAGCAAACAGG
rnacentral:rRNA from 1 species